GUGAUCAGCACAUACAUUAAAACUGUAACGAUGCAGAAAAAAAUUAGUAUGGCUCUUGGGCAAGACUGACACACGAAUUUGUGAAGUGUUCCAAAUUUUU
rnacentral:snRNA from 1 species